rnacentral:lncRNA from 1 species
AUCCUUUUCCCUGGAACCAAGUGCUUGGUUGGGAGACCAUGCCCUCCCCUUCCUUCCUCGGAACUCCUCCCUGAUCGCCCCGUGGCUUCCCCAGGAGAGAUGCGAAAUCAGCGGUAGCAGGUGGCGCAGAAGGGAGAGGGGAGCGACCCUGGGGACCGACUCUGGGGACCCUCGCCGAAGAGGAGUGGCUGUAAGGUGAAGAAGCAUGAAACUCAGUCUCUCGCCCUGGAUGCAUGUUCUCGGGAUGAAGGGGCAGUGAUCUCCCAGAUUUCAGACAUUUCUAAUAGGGAUGGCCAUGCUACUGAUGAGGAGAAACUGGCAUCCACGUCAUGUGGUCAGAAAUCAGCUGGUGCCGAGGUGAAAGGUGAGCCAGAGGAAGACCUGGAGUACUUUGAAUGUUCCAAUGUUCCUGUGUCUACCAUAAAUCAUGCGUUUUCAUCCUCAGAAGCAGGCAUAGAGAAGGAGACGUGCCAGAAGAUGGAAGAAGACGGGUCCACUGUGCUU